CAUGGUUAGUAAAAAUGACAACCACACCACACAUUUGACACAUGUACAAUUUAAUAUUCUGCCACAUACACUGUAGCUGCUAUGCCAUGUUAGCCAUUCAGACUUUCCCCUCCUUUAUUAACUAAUACAUGCCCUCAUAGAUAUUUAUAUAUGUGUAAUAUUGUUAUCACCAUGGAAACAAGAUGCGGAUUCAUCAAAUCAAAUGCAAGUUUGACAUUUUUUUUUGGUGGUUUCUUUGAUUUUGAUCACACAAAGUAAAUUGGCAAAGUGAUGAACCGUAAUAUUAGAUAGAUUACGUAGAUAAAGUCUGUACCACAGAUAACACCCAACGAUGCUUUCAGCCAGCCAGCCCAAGAUUACAGUACAUCCAUGUCAGUUCUGGUUUCUGGUUUCAGUCAUGGUUUCUAGAGUGUUUCAGAAUUCAUGUGAAGCCUUGCGUACAAUGGCAAAUUAUCGGUUGAAGAGUUGUAAUUGAAAUUCCCUUUCCCAUCUUCAACUUGCACUCACACAAACAUAAAACACACCCAUGUCUCCGCACACUGGAGGAGGAGAGGAGCAUGGCUGGACAUCAAUAAAUGCGUAGAAACAAAAUUAAACUUGGCAAAUAGGUAGUCUGCUCCACCCCCAUGUAUACCAGUUGAAAUUAAUAGGCCUUGCAAGUCUGGGGGGGCCAAAAUCACAAUGAUAUUGCUUGGAUGGUAAUUAACAGUAGAGCUUGUUCUGAGGGCAGAACAUUUAGGCAAGGAAUGUGAGGGAAACAAAAGAUAGACUGGGAUUUGAACUAUGCACCUUCUGGUAUGGCAACCUAUGUCUUACACCCUCUGCCACUCAGGCACACACCAUUAGCUGGAAGUUUAGGUAUUUUGAAUCUAACCAGUCAAAAGAAAUGAUGAACAGUUUACUUUCUGAGGUAAUGUGGACUCCUGAGUGGCACUGUGGUCUAAGGCAGUGCUAGCUGUGUCACUAGAGAUUCUGGGUUCGAGUCCAGGCUCUGUCUCUAACAGCUCACCACGACUGGGAGACCCAUGUGGUGGCACACAAUUGGCUCAGCAUAGUCUGGGUAAGAGGAGGGUUUGGCUGGCAGGGAUGUCUUUGUGCACUAGUGACUCGUGUGGUGGGCCAGAUGCAGUGCAUGCUGACAUGGUUGCCAGGUGUACAGUGUUUCCUAUGACGCACUGGUUAACCAACCAAUCAUAUAGCUCAAGCUCCAUCCCUUGGCCUUCCAACCAAUCUGCCCCCAGAACAAGAUUGUGGAAACAUACCAUUGAGCAAGAAAUAAUGCAUGUCAAAGGGCCAAAGAUCUUCCAUCUCCACGCUACCAACACACGCAAACACGAAGCAGACCAAAAAUAAUCUGUCAGAAACUCAAGAUGAUGUGCCGAUCUUAUCUUAUCAUAUUUAUUGGAUACCAUAAAACCAACAGAAAAAAAAUCUAAUCAACAACAGCAAAUUAAACAGAACAACUACAGCACACUGGUCUCUCUGUCCUAUACUUGCUUGUACAAAUCUUAACAGGCUUAAAGAAAGACUCAAUGAAAUUAUGUCGCCAGUGCAGCACCGCAGAUAGUGAGAUGCAAGACUUUGCUCUCACAUAGUCACUCCCAGUAUCUGAACAUGUGCACAGGUUUGCUUCAGGCUGUUCACAGAGUGGAAGCCACAGGACCAAAACAGCAGAGAAGUUGAGCCUCACGCUUCCACGCUCUUAGUUGUUGUGGAAAUUGAAACACUAUGUUUACUUUCUGCAUCCUCGUCAUAUUGCUGAGUCUACCUUUAAUCAAAGUCAUUGAAAAAUGGGUGAGAUGGCACGCACAAGUGACUCAUGGUAGGGAAGGAGGGGCGACGUACCUAGUGUUAAGACCUGUAGGUGUAGUAAUGGGAGGGAAGGAGGGGUGACGUACCUAGUGUUAUGACCUGUAGGUGUAGUAAUGGGAGGGAAGGAGGGGCGACGUACCUAGUGUUAUGACCUGUAGGUGUAGUAAUGGGAGGGAAGGAGGGGCGACGUACCUAGUGUUAUGACCUGUAGGUGUAGUAACGGGAGGGAAGGAGGGGCGACGUACCUAGUGUUAUGACCUGUAGGUGUAGUAAUGGAAGGGAAGGAGGGGCGACGUACCUAGUGUUAAGACCUGUAGGUGUAGUAACGGGAGGGAAGGAGGGGCGACGUACCUAGUGUUAUGACCUGUAGGUGUAGUAACGGGAGGGAAGGAGGGGCGACGUACCUAGUGUUAAGACCUGUAGGUGUAGUAAUGGGAGGGAAGGAGGGGUGACGUACCUAGUGUUAUGACCUGUAGGUGUAGUAAUGGGAGGGAAGGAGGGGCGACGUACCUAGUGUUAAGACCUGUAGGUGUAGUAAUGGGAGGGAAGGAGGGGCGACGUACCUAGUGUUAUGACCUGUAGGUG
ensembl:lncRNA